rfam:Angiostrongylus costaricensis strain Costa Rica genome assembly, scaffold: ACOC_scaffold0000545
UCCCAUGUGGUCUAGUGGUCAAGAUUGGUGGUUUUCACGCAGGAGGCCCGGGCUCGAUUCCCGGUUUGGGAA